rnacentral:rRNA from 1 species
CCUACGGGAGGCUGCAGUGGGGAAUAUUGCACAAUGGGCGCAAGCCUGAUGCAGCCAUGCCGCGUGUGUGAAGAAGGCCUUCGGGUUGUAAAGCACUUUCAGCGGGGAGGAAGGCGUUAAGGUUAAUAACCUUGGCGAUUGACGUUACCCGCAGAAGAAGCACCGGCUAACUCCGUGCCAGCAGCCGCGGUAAUACGGAGGGUGCAAGCGUUAAUCGGAAUUACUGGGCGUAAAGCGCACGCAGGCGGUCUGUCAAGUCGGAUGUGAAAUCCCCGGGCUCAACCUAGGAACUGCAUUCGAAACUGGCAGGCUAGAGUCUUGUAGAGGGGGGUAGAAUUCCAGGUGUAGCGGUGAAAUGCGUAGAGAUCUGGAGGAAUACCGGUGGCGAAGGCGGCCCCCUGGACAAAGACUGACGCUCAGGUGCGAAAGCGUGGGGAGCAAACAGGAUUAGAUACCCUUGUAGUC